AUGGGUAGCUGCUUGCCAUGGGGAUUAGUGUCUUCGAUAGUACUAUUUUUGUCGUUACAGUUCAUGCUUCACUUGUCCUCUGGCUGCUUCGUGGAGGAGAGGGCUGCUCUACUAGACAUCCGGUCUUCUCUGGUAAGAGCGCAUUCCCUGAGUGCGCUUGAUUCAUGGGGGGAGGAUGGUGACGACUGCUGCUCGUGGGAGCGCGUGAAAUGCAACAAUACAACACAGCGAGUGUCUCAUCUCAACCUUUCCUCUGUAUGUGUAACUAAUUCAGAAGGGAGUUGGUAUGCAAACUCGACGGUGUUUUCUGCAUUACAUGACCUUCAAUACCUUGAUCUGUCAUACAGUUAUCGAUGUUCACUAGCCUUGGAAGGUUUAGUUGGACUAGCCAAACUUCGAAAUCUCGACCUCAGUUUCACUUGGUUGGGAGGGGGUUUCCCUGAAUUUAUUGGGCAAAUUGUUUCACUGGAAGUUUUAGCUCUCAACGGUAACGGCAUGACCGGAGGUCUUCCAAAUGCAGCUGUUGAGAAUCUCAGAAACUUGCGACAACUGAACAUUUCUUGGAAUAGCUUGAACGGAAGCCUCCCAGCUUUGCUAUUUGCACUUCCUCACCUAAAGUUCCUACAUCUCUCCUAUAAUGACUUCGAUGGGCAUAUUCCAAUAGGCUCAUUCUCGGGGCCAAUGUCACUUGAAGUCCUAGAUCUCGGUUUUAAUCGCCUCAACGGAACUCUCCCAGUUAGAGCUUUUAAAAACAUCAGGAGCUUGAAUUUGGGUCAUAACAAGUUUAGCGGAUCUCUCCCUGUGUCAUUAUUUGCACUUCCUCAGAUGAAGUCCCUAGAUCUCUCACAUAAUAACUUUGAGGGACAUUUUCCUAUUAGUCUGUCUUCGGCACCAGUCCCCCUUGAGGUCUUACAUCUGGAGUCUAAUAUGUUGAGUGGAGCUCUUCCCACUGAACGAGAAACUAAAAAUCUUCAGAACCUACGAGAGUUGUAUUUGAGUUCCAACCAAUUCAGCGGAAACAUUCCAACAUCCUUGUUUUCGCUUCCACAUAUUGAACGGUUGAAUCUCUCAAAUAAUUUGCUGGGAGGGUCAAUCCUGAUAAAUCCUUCCUCCAAUCUUUCAUUGUCGCUUAAGAGUCUUCGUUUUUCUCAAAACAAUUUGAGUGGUAGACUUUCUUUCAUUUCGCUUCAAAGCCUCACAAAACUAGAAGAGAUAGACCUUUCAGGCAAUGUUAACCUAGCUGUUGACAUUAAUAUUUUCGGAUGGGCACCUCCGUUCCAAUUGAAACAACUGCUCCUCUCUGGUUGUGACCUUGACAAGAACAUUAUUGCGGAACCACAUUUUUUACGCACACAGCGUCGUUUAGAGGUGCUUCAUUUGUCCAACAAUAACUUGUCAGGUAGCAUGCCAAAUUGGUUGUUUACUAAGGAAGCAACGCUACUGGAUCUAAAUCUUGGGAAUAACUUGCUAACUGGAUCACUGGACCCAAUAUGGCAUACCCAAUCUUCAUUCGGUGUUAUCAAGAUACACAUGAACCAUAUCACAGGACAGCUGCCGGCCAACCUCAGCUCAAUGUUUCCAGGCUUGGCUGUUCUAGAUUUUUCUAGUAACGACUUGUUUGGGCACAUACCAACGUCAAUAUGUGAGAUCAGCUCCAUGGAACUUAUAGACCUAUCAAACAACAAACUUUCUGGGGGGGUUCCAGCUUGUGUUUUUACUAGUUAUCCCUGGCUAUACCUCUUGAAGGUCUCAAACAACAGGCUUGGUGGUCCAAUUUUUGGUGGGAUGAAUAAUCUGUCCAAUAAUAUAGAUGAAUUGUGGUUGGAUGGUAACAAAUUUAAAGGGACAUUGCCGCAUGAUCUGGCAGGACAGUCUAUAAGCGUCAUUGAUUUGCAAGAUAACGAGCUGUCUGGGGAACUCGAUACGUCAUUUUGGAAUCUGCCCUAUUUGUUAGCCCUGAAUGUUGCUGGAAACCGUUUAACUGGCAAAAUUGAUGAACACAUUUGUGGCUUCACAAGAAUUCUCCUUCUAGAUCUAUCGCACAACAACCUUACAGGGUCUGUACCAAACAGUUGCUUCAUAGUGCUGAAUUUUCUUAACCUUACCGGGAACUCCUUAUCUGGCGAUAUCUCUUUUCUCCUUUUCAACACAUCUAGUCUGAUUGCUUUGGAUAUCAGACACAAUCAGUUCAUGGGCAACCUUAAUUGGGUAAGUUACCUAGAAAACAUUAGGCUACUUUCGCUGGGCGGAAAUAAGUUUGAAGGGCAGAUCACUCCAACCCUGUGCAGACUCAUGUACUUGAGGAUACUUGAUUUUUCACAUAACAAGCUUUCAGGUUCUCUGCCAGCAUGUAUGGGUAAUAUCUCUUUCAAAGGUGAUAGGGACGAUGCAAUUUUUCAGUCAGUAUAUGAGAGUAAUAUAGAUGACUACUUCAGUGGCUAUGACUUAAGAGACUUCACCUUUGCUACCAAAGGAAAUAUCUACACUUACGGUCGCAAUUUCUUCGAUUCAAUGUCAGGGAUCGACCUAUCCGCAAACACGUUGGAUGGAGAAAUUCCCUGGGAGCUAGGGAACCUGAGCCAUGUCAAAUCCCUUAACCUGUCAUAUAAUUUCUUUGUUGGCCCGAUCCCGGCGACAUUUGGCGGCAUGGAGGAGAUAGGAAGCUUGGACCUCUCCCACAAUGAGCUGAGUGGACCAAUACCUUGGUAG
rnacentral:rRNA from 1 species